rnacentral:rRNA from 1 species
CCCGGGCCUUGUACACACCGCCCGUCACGCCAUGGGAGUCGGGAGCGCCCGAAGUCCGUGACCUAACCCGUAAGGGAAGGAGCGGCCGAAGGCGAGCUCGGUGACUGGGGCG